GUGCCAGCCGCCGCGGUAAGACGUAGGGAGCGAGCGUUGUCCGGAUUCAUUGGGCGUAAAGCGCGCGUAGGCGGUCGUGCAAGUCGGUUGUGAAAACCCGGGGCUCAACCCCGGGCCUGCGUCCGAUACUGCUCGACUCGAGGCAGGUAGGGGAGAUCGGAAUUCCUGGUGUAGCGGUGAAAUGCGCAGAUAUCAGGAGGAACACCGGUGGCGAAGGCGGAUCUCUGGGCCUGUCCUGACGCUCAGGCGCGAAAGCUAGGGGAGCGAACAGGAUUAGAAACCCCAGUAGUCC
rnacentral:rRNA from 1 species